rnacentral:tRNA from 1 species
AUUUAUAUAAUAUAUAAAGUAUAUUUGACUUCCAAUCAAAAAGUCUAAUUUUUAGUAUAAAUA